UGAGCUCGCGGCCUAUCAGCUAGUUGGUGAGGUAAUGGCUCACCAAGGCGACGACGGGUAGCCGGCCUGAGAGGGUGACCGGCCACACUGGAACUGAGACACGGUCCAGACUCCUACGGGAGGCAGCAGUGGGGAAUAUUGCACAAUGGGCGAAAGCCUGAUGCAGCAACGCCGCGUGAGGGAUGAAGGCCUUCGGGUUGUAAACCUCUUUUAGCAGGGAAGAAGCGAAAGUGACGGUACCUGCAGAAAAAGCACCGGCUAACUACGUGCCAGCAGCCGCGG
rnacentral:rRNA from 1 species